rnacentral:rRNA from 1 species
GAUGAAUGCUGGCGGCGUGCCUAAUACAUGCAAGUCGAGCGGUAAGGCCCUUCGGGUACGACGAGCGGCGGACGGCUGAGUAACGACGUGGGAACGGUGCCCAAACGUAGAGGGAUAACCUCGAGAAAUCGAGGCUAAUACCGCAUAUGGUCUUCGGAUUAAAGGAUUAUCCGCUUGGGAGCGGCCGCGUACGAUUAGUUUGUUGGUGAGGUAAUGGCUCACCAAGACUACGAUCGUUAACUGGUCUGAGAGGAUGAUCAGUCAGACUGGAACUGAGACACGGUCCAGACUCCUACGGGAGGCAGCAGUAAGGAAUCUUCCACAAUGGGC